CCGGGCUCGAAACACAGCUUUAUCCCCUGCAGUGGGCACGGGACACAAGUUCACCUCUUAGCCUCCAGGGAUGUCAGUACUCCGAGUCACCAAGCUGAAGAACUCUACAGUGCUCGAGGACUUCCUUGUCACGACUUCCUCUGUGGCGACAGGCGAGAGCCAAUCGAAUAUGCAGCCGGGGUUGAGAAUCACUGCUAUCAUCACGUAAGUUUGCAACUUCUGGUCUUGAGCCCCAGCUGUUCCACUUGCCUGGCCUCACUGACCAGGAGGGGUUGGGAUAGAGUGUUCAUCUGGCCCUGACCUCUGUGCACGAGGACUUUGAGGGACUCUGUCCCUCCAGGACUUUGAGGGAGGGGGCGGUGACUGGGAGGGGAUAUUGGACACUUUGGCCUCUGGCCAUCUUUUAAUCUCUUUUCACUAGAGACAUGACUGAAACAAUCUGUUCUGCUCUGAGACCAUUUCUCAGCUUUCCCUUGGAUCUGUUUUCCCCCAAGUCCGGUCCCCAAGGGUUGAGAGCCUGGAAGCUUAGGUCACUUGUUUACGUCUUCAUCCUCUCCACUGGCAGCUCCAAAUCUCCUAUUUCUGAAGUGGAGCAGGGUCAGCAUUACUCACAUCUAGAUAAGGUAGCUACUUCCCUAGCUUCCUCCAUGUCUGAAAUUCUGCCAUCAGAGAUACAUCCAUUUGCUUCGGGCUCUGAUCUCCUCAAGCAAUUAAGUUCAUCAAUCACUCACACACAUGCAUGUGACUGACUUUCCUAAGCUGUUUUCCUGGAGAUCGGACCUAUGGGU